UAGAAAGUACUUUGGUGUGCUUCGGGCUC
rnacentral:piRNA from 1 species